rnacentral:lncRNA from 1 species
CCGAGAUUGGGUCCUGCCCUGAUCAAAAGAAAAGAAGAUGGAUGAGGACACUAUAAAUAGGCCAGAGCCACCCAGCUGGCCUCGGGGAUGCAGGCGGGCACACAGGCUUCUCUGUCCACAAAAUUUGCUCGCCUGCACACCCAGAGAAAUGGACUUGGCUUGGUUUUUCUGAACUUUUGCCUCUGCGGAAUCAGCAGUGGACGUGUGAGCUGGGGCCUCUGUCCCUGUCAUGUGAGGAGGUCAGGCAGGACAAGCAGGAAGCACUGGGCAAUGAGUCAGGAGGCCUGGUGGGGAGCUUGGGUGAGUCUGUUUUCCUCUCUGGACCUCAGUCUUCUCCUCUGGUUGAUGUAAUAA